rnacentral:rRNA from 1 species
GACGAACCGUGCGAACGUUGUUCGGAUUCACUGGGCUUAAAGGGCGCGUAGGCGGCGGCUCAAGUCGGGGGUGAAAUCCUUCCGCUCAACGGGAGAAUUGCCUUCGAUACUGGGUCGCUGGAGGGGGAUAGGGGUGCGCGGAACUUCCGGUGGAGCGGUGAAAUGCGUAGAUAUCGGAAGGAACGCCGGUGGCGAAAGCGGCGCACUGGAUCCCUACUGACGCUGAGGCGCGAAAGCCAGGGGAGCAAACGGG